rnacentral:ncRNA from 1 species
GUUGUAAAAGGGCAAAUCCGACCGAAAGGCGGGGACGCAAAACUACCGGUCUAACUGGCUAUGCCAUAUGACAGCGGGGUCGCCAAA